GUUCCCAUCGUCUAGAGGCCUAGGAUGCCACCCUUUCACGGUGGAGACACGGGUUCGACUCCCGUUGGGAAUGCCA
rnacentral:tRNA from 1 species